CCUGGCUCAGGACGAACGCUGGCGGCGUGCUUAACACAUGCAAGUCGAACGGGCCCGCUCUCUUUUUUGGGGGUGGGUUGAGUGGCGAACGGGUGAGUAUCACGUGAGUAACCUGCCCCCUGCUCCUGGAUAACUGCUUGAAAGGGCGGCUAAUACGGGGUGUGCCGGCUGGUCCGCAUGGGCCUGGUCGGGAUAGUUUCAUCUUCGGGUGUUUCGGUGGGGGAUGGGCUCGCGGCCUAUCAGCUUGUUGGUGGGGUGAUGGCCCACCAAGGCGGUGACGGGUAGCCGGCCUGAGAGGGUGGGCGGCCACACUGGGACUGAGACACGGCCCAGACUCCUGCGGGAGGCAGCAGUGGGGGGUAUUGCGCAAUGGGCGGAAGCCUGACGCAGCGACGCCGCGUGAGGGACGGAGGCCUUCGGGUUGUGAACCUCUUUCGCCGGUGGAGAAGGCGCCCCCGUGUGGGGUGCUGACUGUAGCCGGGUUAAGAAGCGCCGGCUAACUACGUGCCAGCAGCCGCGGUAAUACGUAGGGCGCGAGCGUUGUCCGGAAUUAUUGGGCGUAAAGAGCUCGUAGGCGGCUGGUCGCGUCUGUCGUGAAAUCCUCUGGCUUAACUGGGGGCUUGCGGUGGGUACGGGCCGGCUUGAGUGCGGUAGGGGAGGCUGGAACUCCUGGUGUAGCGGUGGAAUGCGCAGAUAUCAGGAGGAACACCGGUGGCGAAGGCGGGUCUCUGGGCCGUUACUGACGCUGAGGAGCGAAAGCGUGGGGAGCGAACAGGAUUAGAUACCCUGGUAGUCCACGCUGUAAACGUUGGGCACUAGGUGUGGGGGGCCUUUUCCGGGUUUUCCGCGCCGUAGCUAACGCAUUAAGUGCCCCGCCUGGGGAGUACGGCCGCAAGGCUAAAACUCAAAGGAAUUGACGGGGGC
rnacentral:rRNA from 1 species